GAUGAAUGCUGGCGGCGUGCUUAACACAUACAAGUCGAGCGGUAAGGCCCUUCGGGGGUACACGAGCGGCGGACGGCUGAGUAACGCGUGGGAACAUGCCCUAAAGUGAGGAAUAACUGCCCGAAAGGGUGGCUAAUGCCGCAUAUGAUCUUCGGAUUAAAGGAUUUAUCCGCUUUAGGAGUGGCCUGCGUACGAUUAGCUUGUUGGUGAGGUAAUGGCGUACCAAGGCGACGAUCGUUAGCUGGUCUGAGAGGAUGACCAGCCAGACUGGAACUGAGACACGGUCCAGACUCCUACGGGAGGCAGCAGUGAGGAAUCUUCCACAAUGGGCGAAAGCCUGAUGGAGCAACGCCGCGUGCAGGAUGAAGGCCCUCGGGUCGUAAACUGCUUUUAUGAGUGAAGAAUAUGACGGUAACUCAUGAAUAAGCACCGGCUAACUACGUGCCAGCCGCCGCCGUA
rnacentral:rRNA from 1 species